GAAGAUCAAGUCAGCGGUAAAAUUGAGAGGCUCAACCUCUUCGAGCCGUUGAAACUGGUUUUCUUGAGUGAGCGAGAAGUAUGCGGAAUGCGUGGUGUAGCGGUGAAAUGCAUAGAUAUCACGCAGAACUCCGAUUGCGAAGGCAGCAUACCGGCGCUCAACUGACGCUUAUGCACGAAAGUGUGGGUAUCGAACAGGAUUAGAUACCCUGGUAGUCCACACAGUAAACGAUGAAUACUAAUUGUUCGGGGAGAAUGAUCCCUGAGUGAUACAGCGAAAGCGUUAAGUAUUCCACCUGGGGAGUACGCCGGCAACGGUGAAACUCAAAGGAAUUGACGGGGGCCCGCACAAGCGGAGGAACAUGUGGUUUAAUUCGAUGAUACGCGAGGAACCUUACCCGGGCUCAAACGACACAGGAAUACUUUUGAAAGGAGGUAGCUCUUAGGAGCCUGUGUCGAGGUGCUGCAUGGUUGUCGUCAGCUCGUGCCGUGAGGUGUCGGCUUAAGUGCCAUAACGAGCGCAACCCCCAUCGCCAGUUACCAGCAAGUCAAGUUGGGGACUCUGGCGAGACUGCCGGCGCAAGCUGUGAGGAAGGCGGGGAUGACGUCAAAUCAGCACGGCCCUUACGUCCGGGGCGACACACGUGUUACAAUGGCAGGUACAGAGAGAAGCAAUGCGGCGACGCAAAGCGGAACUUGAAAGCCUGUCUCAGUUCGGAUUGGAGUCUGCAACUCGACUCCAUGAAGCUGGAUUCGCUAGUAAUCGCGCAUCAGCCAUGGCGCGGUGAAUACGUUCCCGGGCCUUGUACACACCGCCCGUCAAG
rnacentral:rRNA from 1 species